UCCAAUGAUGGCAUGAAAUCUUUGAGACCUGAUUUUUAUUGAUGAAACGCUGUAAGCAUUUUUACUCUGAGGAU
rfam:Brassica napus, WGS project CCCW01000000 data, contig: 36025